AAUGAAGAGGUUCGCGAACUCCCUCUAUAAAAAACUAUUUAGUU
rnacentral:ncRNA from 1 species